rnacentral:rRNA from 1 species
CCUACGUGAGGCUGCAGUGAGGAAUAUUGGUCAAUGGGCGCGAGCCUGAACCAGCCAAGUAGCGUGAAGGAUGACUGCCCUACGGGUUGUAAACUUCUUUUAUAAAGGAAUAAAGUGAGGCACGUGUGCCUUUUUGUAUGUACUUUAUGAAUAAGGAUCGGCUAACUCCGUGCCAGCAGCCGCGGUAAUACGGAGGAUCCGAGCGUUAUCCGGAUUUAUUGGGUUUAAAGGGAGCGUAGAUGGGUUGUUAAGUCAGUUGUGAAAGUUUGCGGCUCAACCGUAAAAUUGCAAUUGAUACUGGCAGUCUUGAGUACAGUUGAGGUAGGCGGAAUUCGUGGUGUAGCGGUGAAAUGCUUAGAUAUCACGAAGAACUCAGAUUGCGAAGGCAGCUUACUAAACUGCCACUGACAUUGAUGCUCGAAAGUGUGGGUAUCAAACAGGAGUAGAUACCCCAGUAGUC